ensembl:lncRNA
AUGAUAAACUAUCCAGGAGUCGUAUCUGGUUACAGUAGGAAGGGCUGCAGUAAAGGUCCACCAGUAGAGCUACCAGUGUUUACUCUGGUUAGUGAGGAGAGGAGCAUGGCUGAAGCCCAGAAGUUCUGCAGGGAGUACUAUGAGGAACUGGCCACCAUCUUCAAUGCUGAGGACCAGAUAGUAGCUCUGAGAGCAGUGUCAGCACAGAGCCUCACUGACGCAGUCUGGGUCCACUCCCAAUACCGUGCCUUUUGGCCCCAACUGGCCUAUUGGAAUACACCAAAUGCAAAGUGUGUUGUUCAUGGACAUACAGCAAAAGUUUGGAUUUUGAGAUAUUGCACAAUUUCAUGUCACUUUGUGUGCCAGAAAAGUAAGUGGAUUUUGCAUCCCUUCUCUCCCUUGUCUGAUAUUUGUAAACUACUACUCCAAAGUAACAUUAACACUUUAAUUGAAGGGGGUUAGUCAUUCUUAACACCUUGUACAGUACAUAAUACAUUUCAUAUCACCUUUAUGAGUUACAGUAUCCUUUGACAACCGUCUAGGUACAUUUAUUUAACAUCAAUGUCCAUGUCUUUCAGGGCACUUUAAGGACAAUUGUGUAUUUUCUGUCCUUAGGCACACAAUUAAACUCAGAGCUUAAAUACUACAUGGGUCAAGGUUCAUUGACGUGGGAGGGGGCACAGACGGCUUGCCGAGCCAAUGGAGAUGACUUAGCGAGCAUCCUCACCCAAGAGGAUUACACAGCAUUCCAAAGCAUAACAGAGACACAGCAGUUUGAAAUGUGGAUUGGACUCUACUGGAAGACUUCUACCAGAAUGUGGGAGUGGUCCAAUGGGGACCCCUUUCCAUACUGUGUGUCUGAGCCUCAACUGGGUGCUAGUAACUGCUGCUCCCUGACCCUUAAGGACCAUUGGCAGACUGAAAAUGUCACCCUGGAGAAGAUAGACUGCUCUCUGAAGAGACCGUUCCUUUGCACUGGAAGUAAGACUGACUGAUCUUUUACAGAUAGAGAGAGGAAAAGAUAGACAGAGGUUGUGUCAAAGGGCACUAGGCUGGAUUCAAACCUAUUCUGACACCAUAGACAUGUGUGCCAGAGGCUGUGGCAUUUCCGCUAGACCAGCCAGGCUACAAGACUGCCAUCUUAUUGGGGUUACUGGGGAUCAUAAGACAGGGAGGGACAGGGAUGGCAUUUUAGCCCCAAUAGGGUCCCACUGCAGCAAACACUGUCACAUGUCUGACACAGAGAUGCUACAUGUAGCCUACUCCAGCCACCUCUCUCUCCCCACCUUUCAGAUAUAUAUGUGUUCAUGUGGUUUCUAUUAUGAAAUAAUAUUUCCAUACUGGUAAACAUAGAACACAGAGGCUUGCUACUUCACAGAAAAGCUACUUAUAUAUUGUAAAUAAGUUGAACCUCAUUUGAGUGAAUGUUACCAUUCCUAUGUCAAUCUAGAAAGGAGAAUCAAGCAGACCAUUGUAAGGAUGUCUCUGAAAUCUAAUACAGGAGGUGACCUCAAUGACCCAGUGGUAAAGGAACAGAUGUUGGAGCAGGUACAGUAGUCCUACAUGUCCCACAUUAGCAAUCAAUGUCAAGGUCACUCAUUUCACUGUUUUCAGGAUCAGGAAUGGAAACCUGACAUCACAUAGUAUUACAUUUAGGAUGCUGUAUUCAAAUGAGGGCUACUGACAUUAUCUAGUUUGAUCAUACCUUAUAGAUCAGAAAGGAGAUUGCUAAGAACGGGAACUUCAUCCAAGACUUGCGAUGGAGAGAACUGCCUAACGGAGAUGUUUUUCGCAAAAUAGUUGAACUUGGAAGCCCUGAAGAAGGUAAACACUUUUUUUGUGUCAGCUUUGGAGAAAAAAAACUCAUGUUUAGUCUGUUGUUCAGAGUCCCUUGUUCAGUGUGUUGUUAGGUUUUGCAUCCCGUUGACAGUAUGGAAAUCAAGUACUGUAAGGUGUUCAUGAACUAUUUCCAGUGAGAGUCUUUAUACUGUUGUGUUUGUUUUCUAAGGUCACUGUGGUUCUGGAUGAAGAGGACCAGCCAUGAUGAUGCAACAGGAGAGGGAUGGAAGUUUACUGUAAAUAACCCUAUUACCUCAUUAUAGAUGACCGUAUAUCAAUAACAUUAUCUUAGAUCAUGGUCAGUGUUUUUUCUUGAAUGAGAGAUAGCUUUAUGCUUAUGAAUGAAAAAUAUGAUGUCAAGUUAUUAGGCUAGAUUUAAACUCUACAAUGUUUUACUUUUGUAAUGCAAAAUUAUAAUGUACGAUUUUUGUUGGUGUAUGAAUGUAAUGUAAUAAUGUUUGUUGUACAUAAGGGCAAUUUGAUUAGUGAAGAGAAGAGGAAUAAAAAGGACAUUUGUGUUUGUUCAAGUUUGAAGAUAAAACAUGUAUGGUGAUAAGUUUCAGUGAUGGAUUUUCAGAGUGUAAAAUUAUUGAUAAUGAUGUUACUCACUUAUGGAUGUAACUGUCAACAUUCUUAGAUAAAAUAUGUUUGAUUAGUGACAAUGGUAUUAUGACUAUUUUCACCUUGCAGCAGGAAUGAUGAGAUGUAGGCAGUAGUCACAACAAUGUAGAAUGAUGUGUCCACUUCCAGGUGGGAGUAGAGGUCGACCGAUUAAUUGAUUUCAAGUUUUCAUAACAAUCGGAAAUCAGUAUUUUUGGUCACUGAUUUGGCCGUUUAAAAAAACGUUUUAUAUGUUAUUUUUUACACCUUUACUUAAUCUUUAUUUAACUAGGCAAGUCAGUUAAGAACACAUUCUUAUUUUCAAUGACGGCCUAGGAACGGUGGGUUAACUGCCUCGUUCAUGGGCAGAACGACAGAUUUUCGCCUUGUCAGCUCGGGGGAUUCAAUAUUGCAACCUUACAGUUAACUAGUCCAACGCUCUAACCACCUGCCUCUCAUUGCACUCCACGAGGAGACUGCCUGUUAUGCGAAUGCAGUAAGCCAAGGUAAGUUGCUAGCUAGCAUUAAACUUAUCUUAUAAAAAACAAUCAAUCAAUCAAUCAUAACCACUAGCUAACUACACAUGGUUGAUGAUAUUACUAGUUUAUCUAGCGUGUCCUGCGUUGCAUAUAAUCGAUGCGGUGCAUAUCGUUGCUCCAAUGUGAACCUAACCAUGAACAUCAAUGCCUUUCUUAAAAUCAAUACACAGAAGUAUAUAUUUUUAAACCUGCAUAUUAGCUAAAAGAAAUCCAGGUUAGCAGGCAAUAUUAACCAGGGAAAAUUGUGUCACAUCUCUUGUGUUCAUUGCACGCAGAGUCAGUGUAUAUGCAACAGUUUGGGCCGCCUAAUUUGCCAGAAUUGUACGUAUUAUGACAUAACAUUGAAGGUUGUGCAAUGUAACAGGAAUAUUUAGACUAAUGGAUGCCACCCAUUAGAUAAAAUACGUAACGGUUCCGUAUUUCACUGAAAGAAUAAAUGUCUUGUUCUUCGAGAUGAUAGUUUCCGGAUUCGACCAUAUGCUUUGAGGGUGGCUGUUGUCGCUGUGUUCCUGGUUUGAGCCCAGGGAGGAGCGAGGAGAAGGACGGAAGCUAUACUGUUACACUGGCAAUACUAAAGUGCCUAUAAGAACAUCCAAUAGUCAAAGGUUAAUGAAACACAAAUGGUAUAGAGAGAAAUAGUCCUAUAAUUCCUAUAAUAACUACAACCUAAAACUUCUUACCUGGGAAUAUUGAAGACUCAUGUUAAAAGGACCCACCAUCUUUCAUAUGUUCUCAUGUUCUGAGCAAGGAACUUAAACGUUAGCUUUGUUACAUGGCACAUAUUGUACUUUUACUUUCUUCUCCAACACUUUGUUUUUGCAUUAUUUAAAACAAAUUGAACAUGUUUCAUUAUUAAUUUGAGGCUAAAUUGAUUUUAUUCAUGUAUUAGAUUAAGUU